rnacentral:misc_RNA from 1 species
GAUGAAGAACGCAGCGAAAUGCGACAAGUAAUGUGAAUUGCAGAAUUCAGUGAAUCAUCGAAUCUUUGAACGCACAUUGCGCCCGCCAGUAUUCUGGCGGGCAUGCCUGUUCGAGCGUCAUUACAACCCUCAGGCCCCCGGGCCUGGCGUUGGGGAUCGGCAGAAGCCCCCUGUGGGCACACGCCGUCCCUCAAAUACAGUGGCGGUCCCGCCGCAGCUUCCAUUGCGUAGUAGCUAACACCUCGCAACUGGAGAGCGGCGCGGCCAUGCCGUAAAACACCCAACUUCUGAAUGUUGACCUCGAAUCAGGUAGGAAUACCCGCUGAACUUAAGCAUAUCAAUAAGCGGAGGA